GUGGGCUCUCAAGCGUGAGGUAAGGGCAAUUCGUGGAUGCCUUGGCGCAUACAGGCGAUGAAGGACGUGGCACGCUGCGAUAAGCUGCGGUGAGGUGUGAGCAA
rnacentral:rRNA from 2 species